GCACUCGCUUUGGCAGCACAUGUACUAAAAUCAGAACAAUACAGAGAAGAUUAGCAUGGCCCCUGCACAAGAAUGACAAGCAAAUUCGUGAAGUGUUCCAUAUUCAA